rnacentral:lncRNA from 1 species
UGAUUUUUCUUCCUCCUUUCCUCUAUAAAUGCAGCCAAGACCUUUCACUCUGCCUUGUCUCAGGUUUAUUAUGAAAGGCUUGUGGCCACUGCGCACCAGCAGUGUGUAUGCUGAGCAAGACGAGGACAACAGCUGUCCAGGGAUCUCAUUGCUGGAGACCACUCCACCCACAGUUGACACGUGGUGAUAGAGAAUACGAAGGAGGAAGAGGUGCCAGACAGGAUAAAUGGUACU